CUCACGUGCAUCAUUAGCUUGUCUAUAAUUCGACCUAAACACAGACUUCCAAAACAAGUGCUCACUAUGCCCCCCACACCGAAGCUGAUGUUUCUGACAUGUCUUGUAGCUGUGACUCUCCACCACCACACAUCUGAUGCUGGGAUGGGACCGUGUUAUUCCACAUGGGAUCGCUGCACCACGUGGACCAACUUCUUGACCGGCCUGAGAUGGCAAACCUGUGACGAAAAGUGUCGUGACCUGGGCAAGUAUGGCGGCACGUGUGUCCUGUCUUAUUCGGUGUGUCCAGAGUCAAGCAGACGGUACCAGUGUCAGUGUUAUACGAUCUAGGGACAGCUGCGGCAGUGGUGAGAUGAGGAGUGGUGAGAUGAGGAGUGGUGAGAUAAACUAGUAAGAUGAACUGGUGAGGUGAACAGUGGGGAGAUGAGGAGUGGUGAGGUGAACUAGUGAGAUGAAAUGGUGAGAUGAAAUGGUGAGAUGAACUGGUGAGAUGAAAUGGUGAGAUGAAAUGGUGAGAUAAAUGGUGAGAUGAAGUAGUGAGGUGAUGAGUGGUGAGAUGACCAGGAUACGAACUUUUGUGACAUGAGCUGAACAUAGGUAACAUAAACAGUGGUGAGAUGAACAGUGGUGAGAUGAACAGUGGUGACAUUAGAAGUGGUGACAUAAACAGAGGUGACAUUAGGUGAACAUAAUCGAGAUUAGCAGUGGUGAGAUGAACAGUGGUGACAUGAACAAUGGUGACAUUUGAACUGCUGAGAUGAACAAUGGUGAGAUGAACAGUGGUGACAUUUGAACUGGUGACCGUCUACAGUGGUGAAAUUACCGGUCAGAUAAACAUUGUUUACUGACAUUUGGUUACAAAAUAAUUGUAAUGAAAUAUUGUACCAAUAGUAUUUUAAUUAUUGGUAAUUAUUUAAAUUUGAUACUUCAUUCAGCUGAAAAUGAAGAUGGAAAUCGUACAAUAAGUUUAUAUAUUAUUUUUUAUUUACUUUUUGCUGAGUGUGGAUAAUUGUUAGCAGGUUCCUCUCAAACAAUAUUGCCAUGGGUUUAUUUAUAUUAAUUAAAGUUUUAAUUUUUGAUUUACGUUUAUUUUAUAAUGUUUUUUUUUUGAUUCCGUAGAAAACAAUUUUAGAUGGUUGUUUCCAACAUAUUUGUCACCUCACAUGUUUUACUCAAUUCCUCUUUUUCUAAAGUUUUGUUUUGAUUAUGUCUCACGUAUUUUAAU